CACGGGGGGAGCAAGCGUUGUUCGGAAUCACUGGGCGUAAAGGGCGUCUAGGCGGUCAGAUAAGUGGGAUGUGAAAUGCCCCGGCUCACCCGGGGACCGGCAUCCCAAACUGUCUGGCUUGAGUAUGGGAGAGGAUGUGGGAAUUCCUGGUGUAGCGGUGAAAUGCGUAGAGAUCGGAAAGAACACCAACGGCGAAAGCACUCUGCUGGGCCGACACUGACACUGAGAGACGAAAGCUAGGGGAGCGAAUGGG
rnacentral:rRNA from 1 species